AACGAACGCUGGCGGCCGGCUUAACACAUGCAAGUCGAACGCCCCGCAAGGGGAGUGGCAGACGGGUGAGUAACGCGUGGGAAUCUACCUAGUUCUACGGAACAACAGAUGGAAACGACUGCUAAUACCGUAUACGCCCUACGGGGGAAAGAUUUAUCGGAAUUAGAUGAGCCCGCGUAAGAUUAGCUAGUUGGUGGGGGAAUGGCCUACCAAGGCGACGAUCUUUAGCUGGUCUGAGAGGAAGAUCAGCCACACUGGGACUGAGACACGGCCCAGACUCCUACGGGAUGCAGCAGUGGGGAAUAUUGGACAAUGGGCGCAAGCCUGAUCCAGCCAUGCCGCGUGAGUGAUGAAGGCCUUAGGGUUGUAAAGCUCUUUCACCGAUGAAGAUAAUGACGGUAGUCGGAGAAGAAGCCCCGGCUAACUUCGUGCCAGCCGCCGCAGUAACAC
rnacentral:rRNA from 1 species